GCCGGGGUAGUUUUAUUUUAGAAUAACAGCCUGUCUAGCUGAAGGUGCCAGAUUUUCAGGCUCCCGGCU
rnacentral:tRNA from 1 species